GGAAGAGGUUUGUCCUUUCAGAGGUCCCUAUCACUGAUACUUUCCUAUAAGAAGGUCUUAGAAAUUGAGCUUUCUUAAGUGGUAUCCACUGAUACCAGUUGGAUUAAUGAUAUUUUUGGGGCAGUUUUAACAGCAACAGCAGAAGUCACAGACACCUGAGUAUACAGUAUUUCUCACAGGAAAUGGGUGGACAAGCAACUGAACUGUCAGCUUGAAUCUGAGAAUGAAAAUAGACAUAACUGGACGUCUUCACAUCUUGUAUAGCCCCCUGGGAGAGGCGAUAUUUCCGGGCUGCUAAUGUCACAGCGUGACCUGUUAAUAACCUGCGAGCCUUCCUGCGCUCCGCUGCCUCCCGCUCCCCCAGGAGCCGGCAGCUGCCGUCACACGGAUCGAAUGCCUGCCUUCCCCGCGCUUCAUUGAGAAAAAUUCAAGCAUGUGGCCUGAGGUUCCCCUGAUGACUGUCUGGGGAUGAUGAUUUCUACCAUCUGUUCUGGCUGCCUGUGGCUCCCGGAAACACCGAGGUGUAUGUUGCUUCUGGCCAUACGUGGGAUUCCUAAUGAAACCUCAGCUGCUGCCCAACUGUCUGUGGAUAUCAGAUGGGUUUGAAUUAUCUUCCGCCAAGAGGGGAGGGAGAAGCACUUUGUUUAACUCUUUAAUCUGAACCACUAGACAGCACAUGCAUAAUCACAGGCUACAAAGCCGCUGAAUUAUUAGCAUCUGCAUCGCGGUGGCAGCUGUAGCUUUUGCACGUGUGCUGGGUCUGCCUCAUUCAAGAUACCCGGGCUGGUUGUUUCCAGGCUAAAUAUAAAGCCUCGCGUGAAAUUCAUCUUACUUUAGCUCACUUGGAAGUCUUGUAAUUAUACCAGAGAUUUAUUUGAUCCCUUCACUUCUGAUUUGUGUUAAAGGCACAUUUCAGAUAUAUAAAUUGUAUAUCAGUAUAAGAAAAAGGCUGCUUAUCAACGGUUUUAAAUGCAGCUGAGGAAUUACAGCAUUUCCAAAGUUAUUUAUUGAGACAGAGGAAGUCAGGGCAAAUUGAUAUUGAUUUUGAUAUAUGGAUGAGACUUUUGUGCAAAAUAACCUUGAUAAUGAAUAAAUACACAUGACUUCUCUUUCAGGAUUUGACAUUCUGUCUGUUAUUUUCCUUGUAACCUAUCAUUUAGAAACCUUUUCUCGAUGUUUGCCGAAAAUCAGAUUUUAGUGGAUGUUGAGGGUCACUAUAUCA